AAGUUAUUAAAUUAUAAAUUUGGGUUUCUUUAAUUUUAAGAGACUCUUAUUAAAAACUCAGGGUUUCGGGCAAGUUCAGGUUCAAAAGAAUAUUAAUCAGUUUCGACAAAAAAUUCAUUUAAUUAAACACAAAAUCAAAUUAACUCGUUUUAUGAGUAACAAAAAAAAUGGUUUUCCUAAAUCUACUUUAAUAACAAUGCUUAUUUAUGAGAGAUAAAUUUUUAAAUAAAAUAGAUAACUGCGGUUAUCGACUGAAAUAUCGAUAUUAGAGAGAACCCGUUUAUUAUUUGAGAGAGAGAGAGAGUAGGAUAAAACCAAGGUUUAUAUAUAAGUUAAUAUAUAAACCUUGGGAUAAAACUCGUUAGAACCGUUCUUUGAAAAUAACAAAUGGCCGAUGUUUUAAAUUGUCAUCAAACUCGUUGAAGAAAAUAGAAUGAAAUAAAUGAACGUUAUUCAAGAAAACUAAUAAAUCUUUACCCACAAGUUAUGUUAAAUAAUAAAAUAAAAUUAUCAUCCGACUCACUGUGAAAUAUAAAGGAUUGGAGUUCAAUGUGGUAUCUGGAUUAUGGAUUGUCUCUUGUGUUCGGGGCACUAACUAAUUUUCUGGAUGGUCUACAGGAUUCUUCUUACGGGAAAUUGAACUGUUUGUUCUUCGGAAAUAGGGUCUUGGAUGAUCUCGAAGAAGUAUCGGUAGUUCUCGGAAUAGGUUGUAGGAUAUUUCUCUUUUUAUUUUAAUCUUACAUACAUUGGAGUACACGCCAAAUUUCAACAAUGAGUAAAGUUAGAAAAAUUCAAAUUUAAAUCAAGGAUUUCUUCCUCAAAAUAACGUUAAAACCUCAAAAGAUGGAUGAAAAAUGUGCUUUAGGAGCUGAACUAUAAUAAUUCAUACAUUUGGAAGUAAACAAAACGGUUUAAGAUAAGAUUUUCACCAACAAAAAAUCUCUCUGUCACAAAUUCUAGGUUAUGUUCUCUCGGUGAACUAAGAGAAUGUUAAAAUUAUCACAAUACAUAUGUGUUUAACUCUGUUUAUGAGAAAUGUAUAUUUAAUCUUAACUGGUACUAAAAUCGUACAAAUUAAAUAUUUUUCGAUAUCUUUUAAAAUGCUGAUUGCACAAUUUACACAAUUGUUAUUAUUGUCAAAAUCAGUUCAAAUUUCAAAGAAAGACGUUAGCGUUACCAAUCUACGACACAAAUUACUUGAUAUGAGGAAAAAGUACUACCAACCGAGUCUUAUUUAGCCGAUAGUAAUCCUCCCGACAAAAACAGAUUGUACAACAGCGAAUAUUCUUAUCCUCCGGAUAAGUUUAUUGGCCGGAUAGUUAUCAGACAGAUUAAGGUCCAUUACUACCAUCUUUUAGUCAAAUUUAUCUUAUAGAUAAACCCAUCUGCU